GUGCUUGCUUUGGUAGGACAUAUACUAAAAUUGGGACGAUACAGAGAAGAUUAGCAUGGCCCCUGUGCAAGGAUGCCAGGCCAAUUUGUGAUGUGUUCCAUAUUUUA
ensembl:snRNA U6 U6 spliceosomal RNA